AUUGAACGCUGGCGGCAUGCCUUACACAUGCAAGUCGAACGGUAACAGGUCUUCGGUUGCUGACGAGUGGCGAACGGGUGAGUAAUACAUCGGAACGUGCCCGAUCGUGGGGGAUAACGUGGCGAAAGCUUUGCUAAUACCGCAUACGAUCUACGGAUGAAAUCGGGGGAUCUUCGGACCUCGCGCGGACGGAGCGGCCGAUGGCAGAUUAGGUAGUUGGUGGGAUAAAAGCUUACCAAGCCGACGAUCUGUAGCUGGUCUGAGAGGAUGAUCAGCCACACUGGGACUGAGACACGGCCCAGACUCCUACGGGAGGCAGCAGUGGGGAAUUUUGGACAAUGGGCGAAAGCCUGAUCCAGCCAUGCCGCGUGCAGGAUGAAGGCCUUCGGGUUGUAAACUGCUUUUGUACGGAACGAAAAGCCUCUUUCUAAUAAAGAGGGGUCAUGACGGUACCGUAAGAAUAAGCACCGGCUAACUACGUG
rnacentral:rRNA from 1 species